UGGGGCAAAAGAUCUCUGGUAUUGGCCGCACUAGUACUCAGGUGAAAUAUAAACUUGUAUUGCAAAGAAUGGCAAGUGCUUCUUCCAGAACGUCUUCUCUUAGAUACUCCAGUUUGUGGGAGAGAUUAGGGUCUCGACGUGUUAUUGCCUGCCUGCACACGCCGAUACUAGCCGAUAGGCGAACAAGAGCCGAACUACAGCCGAACUAGGCGAUAAAACAGAAUUCUGGAUUCGAAGUGCGAACUUUCUGAUGUCAUUCCUCAAAACAGUCAGUUUCUGUGUUUUUAUGCAUCGGAGUUCAACACCCAGUACAAGCUGAGGUCCGUCUGCCGGUUCCAAUUGCCAUGGCAACGGCUAUGUACCCGCAGGCCGACGUCAUGCGUGAGUGGAGCGCAGGUUUCGUCGUCUGCUACUACGGCACGUUUCGACAAAUUCCUCCAAAACCACUUCCCAAGAAUACACACGGU